GGGGCUGUGGCUCAGUGGGAGAGCACCUGAUUUGCAUGCAGAAGGUCUCAGGUUCAGUCCCCAGCAUCUCCG
rnacentral:tRNA from 1 species